AGAACUGGGUGAGCCCAUCUGUAAGCACACCGGUAAUGUUACCCAGGCUGCUCUCUUGAAUGUGAUCCCUUAUCAUCAUCAUCAUCAUCAUCAUCAUCAUCAUCAUCAUCCUCAUCAUCAUCAUCAUCCUCAUCCUCAUCACC
rnacentral:miRNA from 1 species